CGAGCAGGCCGCUUAUCGCCCCGGGGUAGCCCGGGGAGGAAAGUCCGGACACCAAAGUGCAGCAUAGCGGGUAACACCCGUCACCCGGGAGGGGAGCAAUCUCAUCCCGGGGAGGACCAGUGCAACAGAAAGGAUGUACAGUUCGGCUGUAGUGAAAUCGUGUAAACUCUAUGCGGUGAAACGCCACGUAGGCCAGCAUUAAGGGCGGCACGUCCGAGUUGGCGGGUAGGCGGAUUGAGGCCCGGGGGCAACUCCGGGUCCAGAUAAAUGAUAGGCGCCCCGGUCUUCCGGGGUUACAGAAUCCGGCUUAUGGCCUGCUUUUUUU
rnacentral:RNase_P_RNA from 1 species